UUUAUACUCCCUCCGUCCGGAAAUACUUGUCGAAGAAAUGCAUAAAAAUGGAUGUAUCUAGAACUAAAAUACAUCUAGAUACAUCCAUUCCUCCGACAAGUAUUUCCGGACGGAGGGAGUACUAA
rnacentral:pre_miRNA from 1 species